rnacentral:misc_RNA from 1 species
UGUCAAAUUUCAAAUUUGUAGGUGUUAUAGUUUCGGAGAUUUCGUGAUGAGUGAGUGACCUUUCGCUUUUAUAUAUAUUAUAUUAUAUUAUAGAUUACCAGACGCAUUAAAAAACUGCAAAUCAUUAAAUAUAUUUAAGAAUGGACUUAAAAAACAUGUCUUGCAUUCAUUUUAAAUAAAGUGAAGUUUUACUUGCGUCCCUAUGCGGACGUAGCCUCGACCGGCCGACCGGUGUGCGACCGACGACUGUGACAGUACCGUCUUAGUACGAGUACUUUGCCGGCCGCGCGCUCCGCGCGCGCGCCUCUGCACUACUUAUUUUGAAUGCAAGAUAGGUAAUAGGUAAUGGAUAGAUAAUAAUGCAUAUAAGUUGAGGAAUGGUCUAAUUUUGGUAUGUAAAAUGUUUUGGUGAUAGAAAUUCGUUGUAGUUAAAGUGUAAAACAAAUCGUAAUGUAUCUGUGAACUG